GUUUACCGCCAUGCCACCCUGAACAAGCCAGAUCCCGUCUGAUCUCGGAAGCUAAGCAGGGUCGGGCCUGGUUAGUACUUGGAUGGGAGACCGCCUAGGAAGACCAGGUGCUAUAGGCG
rnacentral:rRNA from 1 species